rnacentral:rRNA from 1 species
UUGGCGGACGGGUGAGUAACGCGUGAGCAACCUACCUUUCAGAGGGGGAGUAACGUUUGGAAACGAACGCUAAUACCGCAUGAUAUUAUUGGGCAGCAUUGCCUGAUAAUCAAAGGAGCAAUCCGCUGAAAGAUGGGCUCGCGUCCGAUUAGGUAGUUGGCGGGGUAACGGCCCACCAAGCCGACGAUCGGUAGCCGGACUGAGAGGGUUGAACGGCCACAUUGGGACUGAGACACGGCCCAGACUCCUACGGGAGGCAGCAG